rnacentral:rRNA from 1 species
CAGGGAAUCUUGCGCAAUGGACGGAAGUCUGACGCAGCGACGCCGCGUGGGCGAAGACGGCCUUCGGGUUGUAAAGCCCUUUUCUGGAGGAAGAGGGAGGACGGUACUCCAGGAAUAAGUGUCGGCUAACUACGUGCCAGCAGCCGCGGUAAUACGUAGGACACGAGCGUUAUCCGGAUUUACUGGGCGUAAAGCGCCUGUAGGCGGUUCUUCAAGUCGUUUGUGAAAGCCCUGGGCUCAACCUGGGGAGGCCAAGCGAUACUGGAGGACUUGAGGAUGGUAGAGGGAGGUGGAAUUCCGGGUGUAGCGGUGGAAUGCGCAGAUAUCCGGAGGAACACCAGUGGCGAAGGCGGCCUCCUGGACCACUCCUGACAAUCAGACGCGAAAGCUAGGGUAGCAA